UGAACGCUGGCGGCAGGCCUAACACAUGCAAGUCGAACGGUAACAUUUCUAGCUUGCUAGAAGAUGACGAGUGGCGGACGGGUGAGUAAUGCUUGGGAACUUGCCUUUGCGAGGGGGAUAACAGUUGGAAACGACUGCUAAUACCGCAUAAUGUCUUCGGACCAAACGGGGCUUAGGCUCCGGCGCAAAGAGAGGCCCAAGUGAGAUUAGCUAGUUGGUAAGGUAACGGCUUACCAAGGCGACGAUCUCUAGCUGUUCUGAGAGGAAGAUCAGCCACACUGGGACUGAGACACGGCCCAGACUCCUACGGGAGGCAGCAGUGGGGAAUAUUGCACAAUGGGGGAAACCCUGAUGCAGCCAUGCCGCGUGUGUGAAGAAGGCCUUCGGGUUGUAAAGCACUUUCAGUUGUGAGGAAAAGUUAGUAGUUAAUACCUGCUAGCCGUGACGUUAACAACAGAAGAAGCACCGGCUAACUCCGUGCCAGCAGCCGCGGUAAUACGGAGGGUGCGAGCGUUAAUCGGAAUUACUGGGCGUAAAGCGCACGCAGGCGGUUUGUUAAGCUAGAUGUGAAAGCCCCGGGCUCAACCUGGGAUGGUCAUUUAGACUGCAGACUAGAGUCUUGAGAGGGGAGUGGAAUUCAGUGUACGUGAAUGCGUAGAUAUCUGAGGACAUCAGUGCGAGCGACUCUGCAAGACUGCCUAU
rnacentral:rRNA from 1 species